GAAAGUUUAUUUUAAAAUGCCUUAGAACAGGAACGAAAUGAAGGUGUGCAUGGAAAAGACCCACGCAGGCACAUGAAGGUUAAAGAGAGAAGAGAUGGAUCUCAAAAAAGAAAUCAAAACUGGCUCAGAUUUCCCAAGGAUUUCCAUAUCUAUAUACUAGAAGAUAAUUCAGACUUAUGCAUCUGAGAAGGCUAACCAGCUCACUGCAUUAACUCACUUGGAAAGGGGAAGAAUUGGCUACCAAAUAAGCC
rnacentral:lncRNA from 1 species